CAAACGCUGAGAGGGCCAAGCCCCAUUAAUGCCGCUCAGACUGCCAGGGACCAAACUGCAGAACGUAUUGGUGUUAACAAGUCGCCGAGUCCAGUGGUGACUGAAGUCUUAUUUUCUUCAAACAAAUAAAAAAAUGCCAGUGGAAUGAGAUCAUUUCACUUACUCGCAGUGCAAAAGCAAUUUGUUGAAGAUAUUUUUGCAGAGCUCCUGUCCACAACUGAUGAGGGAAGCUCCUCAUUCUGCCUGAUCGCUGCUGUUUGACUGAGAUACUCAACAGGUGCAGACAAAACCAGGUCACAGGUCAUUUCAGUCAGUCAGAGAGGUGUGCGUGCC